AGGGAAGAGUUACCCGGGCUAGAGAGGACAGCGGACCGCAGGUUUAGUCCUGGCUGUGGAGUUGGGAUGCUGAGAUGGGUCUGGAGAGAUGCAGGAUGUUCUAGUCCCAGUUAGGAUGGUAAAUAGGGUCCUCGCUCCGAGGAGGGAUGCUGAACGGGGUCUGGAAGAAUGCAAGAUGUCCUGGUCCGGGCCAGGAGUGCCCAGGAUGGCCUGGAAACAGCGGACAAAGGAUCUCCUGGCACUAGUUGCACUCAGGAGGCAGAGGCAAGAGGAUCUCUGGGUUCUUGGACAACCUGGUCUAUAUGCUGGACGUCAGAUCCCUGUGGGGAUAUAAGAGGAUGUUUCCAGAAAGACCAAACUAAAAAGGAAAGUCCAACCCUGAAUGUGGAGGACAGCCUCCCCUAGGCUGGGCUCCCAGACUGAGUAAGAAGAAAAUGAGCUGAGCACGCUUCCCCCCUCCCCCUCUCUCUCCCCUACCCCCCCCAUACAAUGUGGUCAGUUACCAGCCAACCCCCUGCUGCGGUGCCUAUCCCUACCACUGUGAACUGUUCGCCCU